GCCCCCUGACACCAGCUGCCUCCUCGAGCCGCAAUGGAUUCUGCGACGAAUGUCAUCGGAACCUAAACGGAAACGCAAGACCUGGGGGGACCAUAAAAGAGUGAAAAGAAGAGGAUCCACGGCAGACCAGUAUAGCAAAGAAGAAAUGUGGCAGCUUGGAAGCUGAAGCGCUGAUUGUGAGAGGGGAAUCUGGCAACACCAAGGGACACUGAUAACAUGGAGAGAAGUUCUCUGUUCACUGAGCUGAGAAAGCAGUAAAGGAAAGAGGAUUUAGGUUCUCCUCAGGAACAACUCACAAUGAGUAAGGUUGUCCAAGCAUGGACCAGCAAAAUUUCCAGCAUCUAUUC